GCAUUGGUGGUUCAGCGGUAGAAUUCUCACCUUCCAUGUGGGAGGAGACCCAGGUUUGACUCCCAGCCAGUGCA
rnacentral:tRNA from 1 species